AGAGUUUGAUCAUGGCUCAGGAUGAACGCUAGCGACAGGCCUAACACAUGCAAGUCGAGGGGCAGCACGGAAGUAGCAAUACGACUGGUGGCGACCGGCGCACGGGUGAGUAACACGUAUGCAACCUGCCUGUAAGAGGGGAAUAACCCGGAGAAAUCCGGACUAAUACCGCAUAAUACUGUGAAACUGCAUGGUUUUACAGUUAAACAUUUAUGGCUUACAGAUGGGCAUGCGUAUGAUUAGCUGGUUGGUGAGGUAACGGCUCACCAAGGCAACGAUCAUUAGGGGUUCUGAGAGGAAGGUCCCCCACACUGGUACUGAGACACGGACCAGACUCCUACGGGAGGCAGCAGUGAGGAAUAUUGGUCAAUGGACGAGAGUCUGGACCAGCCAAGUCGCGUGAAGGAAGAAGGUUCUAUGGAUUGUAAACUUCUUUUGUAAGGGAAUAAAAAAGAGUACGUGUACUCUAUUGUAUGUACUUUACGAAUAAGGAUCGGCUAACUCCGUGCCAGCAGCCGCGGUAAUACGGAGGAUCCGAGCGUUAUCCGGAUUUAUUGGGUUUAAAGGGUGCGUAGGCGGACUUAUAAGUCAGCGGUGAAAGUUUGCAGCUUAACUGUAAAAUUGCCGUUGAAACUGUUAGUCUUGAGUGUAAAUGAGGUAGGCGGAAUGUGUUGUGUAGCGGUGAAAUGCUUAGAUAUAACACAGAACACCAAUUGCGAAGGCAGCUUACUGGGAUACAACUGACGCUGAGGCACGAAAGCGUGGGGAUCAAACAGGAUUAGAUACCCUGGUAGUCCACGCAGUAAACGAUGAAUACUAACUGUAUGCGAUAUACUGUAUGCGGUACAGCGAAAGCGUUAAGUAUUCCACCUGGGGAGUACGUUCGCAAGAAUGAAACUCAAAGGAAUUGACGGGGGCCCGCACAAGCGGUGGAUUAUGUGGUUUAAUUCGAUGAUACGCGAGGAACCUUACCAAGACUUAAAUGGGAAUUGACAGGUUUAGAAAUAGAUCUUUCUUCGGACAAUUUUCAAGGUGCUGCAUGGUUGUCGUCAGCUCGUGCCGUGAGGUGUUAGGUUAAGUCCUGCAACGAGCGCAACCCCUGUCACUAGUUGCCAUCAUUCAGUUGGGGACUCUAGUGAGACUGCCUACGCAAGUAGAGAGGAAGGUGGGGAUGACGUCAAAUCAUCACGGCCCUUACGCCUUGGGCCACACACGUAAUACAAUGGCCGGUACAGAGGGCAGCUACACAGCGAUGUGAUGCAAAUCCCGAAAGCCGGUCUCAGUUCGGAUUGGAGUCUGCAACUCGACUCUAUGAAGCUGGAAUCGCUAGUAAUCGCGCAUCAGCCAUGGCGCGGUGAAUACGUUCCCGGGCCUUGUACACACCGCCCGUCAAGCCAUGGAAGCUGGGGGUACCUGAAGUCGGUGACCGUAAAAGGAGCUGCCUAGGGUAAAACUAGUAACUAGGGCUAAGUCGUAACAAGGUAGCC
rnacentral:rRNA from 1 species